AUUCAACUGAUGAGUCUCAAAUGGGACAAACGAGCGUCCUGGAU
rnacentral:hammerhead_ribozyme from 1 species